rnacentral:misc_RNA from 1 species
GGUUCCGUAGGUGAACCUGCGGAAGGAUCAUUACUGAGUGAGGGCCCUCUGGGUCCAACCUCCCACCCGUGUUUAUUGUACCUUGUUGCUUCGGCGGGCCCGCCUUUAUGGCCGCCGGGGGGCUCACGCCCCCGGGCCCGCGCCCGCCGAAGACACCUCGAACUCUGUCUGAAGAUUGUAGUCUGAGUGAAAAUAUAAAUUAUUUAAAACUUUCAACAACGGAUCUCUUGGUUCCGGCAUCGAUGAAGAACGCAGCGAAAUGCGAUACGUAAUGUGAAUUGCAGAAUUCAGUGAAUCAUCGAGUCUUUGAACGCACAUUGCGCCCCCUGGUAUUCCGGGGGGCAUGCCUGUCCGAGCGUCAUUGCUGCCCUCAAGCACGGCUUGUGUGUUGGGCCCCGUCCUCCGAUUCCGGGGGACGGGCCCGAAAGGCAGCGGCGGCACCGCGUCCGGUCCUCGAGCGUAUGGGGCUUUGUCACCCGCUCUGUAGGCCCGGCCGGCGCUUGCCGAUCAACCCAAAUUUUUAUCCAGGUUGACCUCGGAUCAGGUAGGGAUACCCGCUGAACUUAAGCAUAUC